CGCCUGUUUAUCAAAAACAUAGUUUAAAGAAUUUACAUUUUAAAUUAAGUCUGCCCAGUGAAAUUUUUAAACGGCCGCAGUACACUGACUGUGCUAAGGUAGCAUAAUAAAUUGGCUUUUAAUUGGGGUCUUGAAUGAAUGGAUUUUUGGGAAGUAACUGUUUUUAACUACCAAAUUAUAAUUUACUUAACAGGUGAAAAUUCCUCUAUAAUACAUGUAAGACGAGAAGACCCUUAGAAUUAUUUACUAAUAAGUUAUUAAUUUUUAGUUUUUGUUGGGGCAACAAGUUCAAACUUAACUGAACUAAUACUAUCUUCACAUACAGUAAUUAUUUAAAAAAAGAAUUUAAUUACCUUAGGGAUAACAGCAUUAUUAAUUUUUUAGUUUGUGACCUCGAUGUUGGACUAAGGAUUAUAAUAAAUAGCCUUUAUUAUAAGUAGUUCUGUUCGAACUUUCCUCCUUACGUGAUCUGAGUUCAGACCGG
rnacentral:rRNA from 1 species